rnacentral:lncRNA from 1 species
ACCUGCUGUUGAAGAUGAUCAACAUAGUUUCAAACAAUCUGACAUCCUUUUAAACGCAUUGAUUUAAACAGCAAAAAGUUAUUUGAUUUUCGUCCUUAUAUUUUGUUAGAAGAUGGCUUUGUUGGUUUAUUAUUCAUGUGGCUUUGCUGUUUUUCAUACACAGACUUGCAUCUUUAUUUUGACAAUCACAGACACAAGAUUCAAUACUUAAUUCUUUUAUUUCAUUUUCUUUUUGCAGUUUUCAAAUGAAGAAUGCUUGGAUAUUUGUUACCAUGCAAACUCAUUAGCUGCUGCAUUAUACAGGUAUUACGGUUAAUUGAUUUUUGAGUUUGAUUCUUUCGAUACAUAUUUUGUUUGUUCUGAAAUCACACUUGAUGACUAUUGUCGUUUCUAAGUUUUUAGGACUUAAUAACUACACUUGGUCUGUAAUGGUCUUCGAUUAGGAUAAGUAUUUUUCCUUUUUCAGAUUGUUCGUACCAUUAAAACCAACCAACCAAUUACUUUUUUUCACUGUGAUGUUCGUAAUGGACCUUGUCUUUUAAAUUCUUGAUAAGGUUUGUGUUGUAGCUCUCCUUGUUCAUUAAUUCUUAACUAUCUGUGUUACUAUAUAUUAUAAAAAUUUAGAAAUUUCUUUAGGCAAUUCAGAUUUAAUAAGAAACCAUCCCAUUGAUAAAUGAAUUAUCCAAAGGGUACAAUUGAUAAUCCUCACAAUGAGAUACUGUUGGAAUACAAUACAACCUAACAAGAAUAUUCAAGAACAAACGGAACACUAAAGGAUAGAAACAUAUGAAAAUUUGAUGUAACAUUGUAAAAAAAGUAAUAUGAUAAUGUAGGCUUUCGAGGGGGCUAGAUUCUCCGAAAUUUUCCGAAGGAAAUCCCACAAAAUUCUUCAUAUCAACUUACUAAAAUUUCCCCCCUUCUAAUAACCAUUCUUAUAAUCUACUGAUGAUCCUACUAUAUCUUUAACUAGGGCUGUCACAGAGACAUGAACCCUACGCAAUUCAAUGUAAUAACUUCGCUAUAUCGUGAUUUUGUCUGUUUUUGUUCCAUUUUGCUUUUGUUGUUUUAGUGAUCUUGAGAGGUUCUCAUUUGUGCUCUUAGAUUCUUUCAUCUUAAAUAUAAUUUCCACAAGUUUUCUAAAUAUUUCAUUAUGGUCUUUGAAUGAAUUUUGCUACCCUCUUAUAGAAAUUUACUAGGCAUACUCAAAUCACAUGCACCACACUUUCAUAUCAUAUUUGGAAAUGAAUAAUAGCAUGUGAAAGUUAAUGAAUGAAAAUGUAAGCAAGUGUGAAAUCUAAUCUAUGUGAGAAGAUUCAAACCUCGUCUUGCAUUUUAAUAUAUAUAACAUGUGCUUAUUUUAUGUUAACAACUGGAUGGCUUAAACACGUAGCAAUACUGAGAUGCAUGUGGAGUUUUAAAAAUACCAUUGCAUCCAUCACAUGUGAAAUUAGGUUAAAUCAAAAGCCAUCUUGCUUUCUUCUUAGGCCUUCCAAGAAUUAUGAAUCUUAGGUUGGUAACCACCUGAUUUUUGGUUUUGUUUUUCAUUCAGAGGCCUUAAGGUUCAACCAAACCCAAAUAUUUCCCAAUUCAGAUAUGAAUGAUAGAAGAUUCAUAUGUCCAUGUUAAUGCAUUCCUUUCAUUUUCUUUUAAAAGUAAAUUUAUUGAGUCAAUGAACUUUUCAAAAGUCUUUGUUGAUCAACUUUGAUGUCUUCUCAUAAUUCUGUUCAUACUAAAUCAUGCGGGAUUGGUCCCUUGUAGCUGUCCCAGAGAAUGAGUGAAUACCAAAUACUAUUCUUAAGCUGACUUUUCUUUACUUAUUUCUUGUGUGUGUGUGUGUGUGUGUUAAGUGUUCAAUAAAUAUCCCAUCUUAGGAAAUAUUCAAAUUUGUAUCAAUUUUUUUAAUUAAUUCAUUUUCUUUCAGCAAACAUAAGAACUAACAAAGGUAGAAGAUCAAAUCAAGCCAUCCAUGGAUGGUGAUCUUCCAAGUCAAACUUUCGUCGUUCUACGUAUAUUCCUAUUUGAGAAGGCAAGUAAACCGGUACACUACUGAGUUGCACUUGUGACUAACGAGAAAGAAACCUUGGAUUGCACCUCUUUGAGAACGAUCUCCAAUGGAAUAUACAAACAUUUCAAGCUCGUUUUCAUAACAAGCCUGUUCUUGUAAGAAGGGUUUCAUAGAAUUUCUGAGUAUGUCUCAAGUCCAACAAAGCUAUCCAUAGAUAUAAUUAAAUUUUAUGAUUUCUAUUUAUGUUAUGUCAUCUGUUCAUUGUAAUUAAAAGAAAUAUAAUUUUGCAUGAAAUUGAUCAUUUCAAUGAGAUCAAGUUUUGCACAAAUUUAAGUUUUAAGUUUGAGUAGUCUACAAGAGAGAACUUGCAUAACUUUGUUCAAACUUGCAAAUUUAAACAAAAAAAU